UUUUGGGCCAAGGGGGGAAAUCUUGAGCCACCCCGCCGGGGUAAUGAAUAAAGCCUUCCGGGUGGUAAAGUUCUUUGGGCCGGAAGAAAAUGGUCGGGAUUAAUAGUCAUGUGGAAUGACGGUACCGUAAAAAGAAGCACCGGCUAACUCCGUGCCAGCAGCCGCGGUAAUACGUAGGGUGCAAGCGUUGAUCGGAAUUAUUGGGCGUAAAGGGCAAGUAGGCGGUUUCGUAAGUUGGGGGUGAAAGCCCCGGGCUUAACCCAAGAAUUGCCUUAAAAACGGUGAGACUAGAGUUCGGCAGAGGGUGGUGGAAUUCCAGGUGUAGCGGUGAAAUGCGUAGAGAUGUGGAGGAACACCUAAGGCGAAGGCAGCCUACCUGGACCAGCACUGACGCUCAUGCACGAAG
rnacentral:rRNA from 1 species